rnacentral:rRNA from 1 species
UAAACAAUGAUUCCCCCAGUAGUGGCGAGCGAACGGGGAACAGCCCAAACCAUCCAUGUUACGGCAUGGGUGGGGUUGUAGGACUACGCCGUUGCAUGAAGACAUCAGAGAAGAACUUUCUGGAAAGAAAGACCAUAGAGCAUGACAGUUGCGUAUUCGAAUGUUGUCGAAGCAUAGUAGUAUCCUGAGUAGCGCGGAGCACGAGGAAUUCUGCGUGAAUCUGCCGGGACCAUCCGGUAAGGCUAAAUACUCCCGAGAGACCGAUAGCGAACCAGUACCGUGAGGGAAAGGUGAAAAGCACUUCGAACAGAAGAGUGAAAUAGUUCCUGAAACCGUGCGCCUACAAGCGGUCGGAGCUCGUUAAUGAGUGACGGCGUGCCUUUUGCAUAAUGAACCUACGAGUUGCCUUUGCCGGCAAGGUUAAGUGUGACGACACACGUAUCCGAAGCGAAAGCGAGUCUGAACAGGGCGUAUAGUCGGCAGUGGCAGACGCGAAACCAAGUGAUCUACCCUUGGCCAGGUUGAAGGCUGGGUAACACCAGCUGGAGGACCGCACCAAUAAGCGUUGAAAAGCUUCUGGAUGAGCUGAGGGUAGGGGUGAAAGGCUAAUCAAACUUGGAGAUAGCUCGUACUCCCCGAAAUGCAUUUAGGUGCAGCCUCGCGGGUUACUGAUGUGAGGUAGAGCGACUGAUUGGAUGCGAGGGCUUCACCGCCUAUCAAGUCCUGACAAACUCCGAAUGCGCAUCAGUUUUACCGCGGGAGUGAGGGCAUGGGUGCUAAGGUCCGUGCCCGAGAGGAGAAGAAUCCGGACUAUCAGCUAAGGCCCCGAAAUGACAGCUAAGUUAAACUAACGAAGUCUGAUUGCUAAGACAGCUAGGAUGUUGGCUUGGAAGCAGCCAUUCAUUUAAAGAGUGCGUAACAGCUCACUAGUCGAGGAGUCGGGCGUGGAUAAUAAUCGGGUAUCAAGUUGUCUACCGAAGCAGUGGGAUCAUUUAUAUGAUCGGUAGGGGAGCAUUCCAGUCAGCGUCGAAGGCGUACCGUGAGGUAUUCUGGAGCGUCUGGAAAAGCAAAUGUAGGUAUAAGUAACGAUAAAGGGGGCGGGAAACCCCCUCGCCGAAAGACUAAGGUUUCCUGAUCAACGCUAAUCGGAUCAGGGUCAGUCGGGUCCUAAGGCUCAGCCGAACGGCGAUGCCGAUGGCAGAAACGGUUAAUAUUCCGUUACUACCUUCAGGAGUGACGUGGAGACGCAGUAGUGACAGUGCCGCCAUCUGACGGAAUAGAUGGUUGAAGGGUGUAGGAGUCGAUCAUGGCAGGCAAAUCCACCAUGAGAUCCGAACCUGAUAGUAUGCCGCGUCCUUCGGGACAAGGCAAUAGUGCGCGUAAGCAUGCUGCCGAGAAAAUCCGCUAAACUUAAUCCUGCAGGUACCCGUACCGCAAACGGACACACGUAGUCGGGAUGAAUAUUCUAAGGCGCUUGAGUGAUUCACGGUUAAGGAACUAGGCAAACUGACCCUGUAACUUCGGGAUAAAGGGUCCCUACCCUUUUAUGGGAGGGCGCAGAGAAUCGGUCCAGGCAACUGUUUAACAAAAACACAGGGCUGUGCCAAAUCGAAAGAUCCAGUAUACAGCCUGACACCUGCCCGGUGCUGGAAGGUUAAGAGGAGAUGUCAUCGAUAAGAGAAGCGUUGAAUUGAAGCCCCAGUAAACGGCGGCCGUAACUAUAACGGUCCUAAGGUAGCGAAAUUCCUUGUCGGGUAAGUUC